rnacentral:rRNA from 1 species
GUCUACGGCCAUACCACGUUGAAAGCACCAGUUCGUUCACUGAAGUUAAGCAACGUCGGGCUCGGUUAGUACUUAGUAAAGAACACUUAGUAGGAACACCGAGUGCUGUAGACU